rnacentral:rRNA from 1 species
UACGUAGGGAGCAAGCGUUGUCCGGAAUCAUUGGGCGUAAAGCGCGCGUAGGUGGCCCCGCAAGUCCGCUGUGAAAGUCAAAGGCUCAACCUUUGAAAGCCGGUGGAUACUGUGGGACUAGAGUACGGAAGAGGCGAGUGGAAUUCCUGGUGUAGCGGUGAAAUGCGCAGAUAUCAGGAGGAACACCGGUGGCGAAGGCGGUUCUCUGGGCCUGUACUGACGCUGAGGAGCGAAAGUGUGGGGAGUGAACAGG